rnacentral:lncRNA from 1 species
AAUCUUGUAGGUUUGGAAGAAUUGGAGGGACGGAACACCAUUGAACAUAAUAGAUCCAACAUUUGCGGAAUCAUACUCGAGAAAUGAAGUGAUGCAAUGUAUACAUAUCGGAUUGUUAUGUGUUCAAGAAGACGUUAAUGAAAGACCUACAAUGGAAGAAUUGGAGGGACGGAACACCAUUGAACAUAAUAGAUCCAACAUUUGCGGAAUCAUACUCGAGAAAUGAAGUGAUGCAAUGUAUACAUAUCGGAUUGUUAUGUGUUCAAGAAGACGUUAAUGAAAGACCUACAAUGGAAUCCGUGGUGCUCAUGCUUAAUAGUUACUCUAUUACCAAGCGAGCGCCUCAGCAACCUGCAUUCUUUUUUCGUAGUCAAUCAGAGAUGCUACCAAUUAAAGGGUUAGAGUCAGAUCAAUCUACAAGCAAGUC